GAUAAACGCUGGCGGCGUGCAUGAGACAUGCAAGUCGAACGAAGGAUCGGGCUUGCUCGAUCCUUAGUGGCGGACGGCUGAGUAACGCGUAGGUGACCUACCCCGAAGUGGGGAAUAACUGCCCGAAAGGGUGGCUAAUACCGCAUGUGGUCGCACGUUCAUUCGUGCGAGUAAAGCCGCAAGGCGCUUCGGGAGGGGCCUGCGUCCGAUUAGCUCGUUGGUGGGGUAAUGGCUUACCAAGGCGACGAUCGGUAGGUGGUCUGAGAGGACGAUCACACAGACUGGGACUGAGACACGGCCCAGACUCCUACGGGAGGCAGCAGUCGGGAAUUUUGCUCAAUGGGGGAAACCCUGAAGCAGCAACGCCGCGUGAGGGAUGAAGGCCGUCGGGUUGUAAACCUCUUUUGUCAGGGACGAUGAUGACGGUACCUGGCGAAUAAGCCACGGCUAACUACGUG
rnacentral:rRNA from 1 species